rnacentral:rRNA from 1 species
UCGGGAAUAUUGCGCAAUGGAGGAAACUCUGACGCAGUGACGCCGCGUGCAGGAAGAAGGUUUUCGGAUUGUAAACUGCUUUAGACAGGGAAGAAAAAGACAGUACCUGUAGAAUAAGCUCCGGCUAACUACGUGCCAGCAGCCGCGGUAAUACGUAGGGAGCGAGCGUUAUCCGGAUUUAUUGGGUGUAAAGGGUGCGUAGACGGGAAUACAAGUUAGUUGUGAAAUCCCUCGGCUUAACUGAGGAACUGCAACUAAAACUAUAUUUCUUGAGUGCUGGAGAGGAAAGUGGAAUUCCUAGUGUAGCGGUGAAAUGCGUAGAUAUUAGGAGGAACACCAGUGGCGAAGGCGACUUUCUGGACAGUAACUGACGUUGAGGCACGAAAGUGUGGGGAAGCAAACAGGAUUAGAUACC